AAAUUGUAGUGAAGGGCUGAGAUUUUUUAUCGAACCCGGAAAGAAAAACAGGAGGCCUGAAUGCCUGAUAUUAGAAAAAAGAUUAAAACCAAAACCGACUCUAAAUACUUGUAGGUUAUAAAUUGCAGUUAGAUUGCAAGAUUGCAACUUCUUUUCCUCUCAAAAUUUCCAGAAAAUCCUAAUCGAAGAGAAGCAAUAGAAAUUGAGAAAAAACUUUUUUAUAAAAAUGGAUGACUCUAUCCCUGUUCGUCUUUUUCGUUCUAUUCCUCCUCUAACUGAGUUUCUGGAUGCAGAUCCAUUGGAUAGCACUAACCUCGAUAAAUUCACGGACGAUCUUCUAGCGAAGUGGGACGAGUUGGAGAAGGAUUCCUUGCCUAUAUUCAUUCCCGAUACGGUUAUAUUCUUCCCAGGGCGUACGGACAUUUCCAAACCCUUGAGCAAGGCGGAUCUCUAUAGUCAAUUGGCUGAGUAUUCUGAACAGGCCUUGGCUUACUUUAACAAAACCAAUGUAUGCAUAAUUUAACAGGCCUUGGCUUACUUUAACAAAACCAAUAACACAGACUAUAAGUCUGAAAAUAAUGGCGAAAUCGUCUAUGGUGAUCAGGAUUAUUGUUAUGCUACUCAUUGCAACUUCACUGCUAAGCCUGAUACAGCGCCUCUCAUUCCUGGGGAUUUUUCCAGCAAGCUCUUCUUUGCUGAAUUUAUGCACACUCCUCAGUCGAUGACUUCCCUAACUUAUUGUAGUCUGCUAGAUGGUGCGGACUACAAGAAAUACUGCGACAUGUGCCCCAAGGGAGUGAUUCGUCAUCCGAAAACUUUCCGAUAUGGUGACAAACCACCCCUGGAUUGAUUUCUCAGCCAAUAACUGAAUUUUGGUGAGGAAGGGGGUUGGAUGAAUUGUACAUGGAAGGGCAUCAUAUGUGCCACUUGAAGACCAUGUAGUAAACUUGUAGUAAUGUGUGGCUGCAGACUAUUUGAAUGUAGCCUAAAUAUGGUAAUGUGUGUGGUUUACAAGAAAGUUUGAACUUAUAGUAAUGUGUGAUUUGCAAGACAAUUUGAAUGUAAUAUGUGGUUUGCAAGACUAUUUGAAUGUAGCCUAAAUAUGGUAAUGUACUAAGGUAGCCUAAAUUAGCUAAUAA